rnacentral:rRNA from 1 species
UGAGUGAUGAAGGGCUUCGGCUCGUAAAACUCUGUUGUUGGAGAAGAACAGGUGUGAGAGUAACUGUUCACAUCUUGACGGUAUCCAACCAGAAAGCCACGGCUAACCACGUGCCAGCAGCCGCGGUAAUACGUAGGUGGCAAGCGUUGUCCGGAUUUAUUGGGCGUAAAGCGAGCGCAGGCGGUUUUUUAGGUCUGAUGUGAAAGCCUUCGGCUUAACCGGAGAAGUGCAUCGGAAACCGGGAGACUUGAGUGCAGAAGAGGACAGUGGAACUCCAUGUGUAGCGGUGAAAUGCGUAGAUAUAUGGAAGAACACCAGUGGCGAAGGCGGCUGCCUGGUCUGUAACUGACGCUGAGGCUCGAAAGCAUGGGUAGCGAACAGGAUUAGAUACCCUGGUAGUCCAUGCCGUAAACGAUGAGUGCUAAGUGUUGGAGGGUUUCCGCCCUUCAGUGCUGCAGCUAACGCAUUAAGCACUCCGCCUGGGGAGUACGACCGCAAGGUUGAAACUCAAAGGAAUUGACGGGGGCCCGCACAAGCGGUGGAGCAUGUGGUUUAAUACGAUGCUACGCGAAGAGCCUUACCAGGUCUUGACAUCUUCUGCCACCUAAGAGAUUAGGCGUUCCCUUCGGGGACAGA